CUAUGGCCUUCCAGGCUAUGUCCUAAUGCUGGCCCCUGGCUGGUGAACUAAUGAUGGCACCAAUUACUGAAGAGCAUGUGUGCCUGGUAUACAUGCCGACAUCAGCUCAUUAAGAUCUUACAAAACUGGCACCAAGGACACCUCAAUCUCUCCAGUGCAGGGACAUGUGCUAUGGCACUGGGUAGUGUACGGCGUAUACUGCUGUGCUGCAGAUGAAAGGACCAGAGAGUGUGCUACACUGAUUAACGACUCAGACAUGGAUUAGAGGCUUCGCAGUCGUAGUAUCCCCUGAGGUCUUUGUAAGAGGAGGAGUGUGUGUGUUUGUGACUGUGUUUAGAGGCUGAGGGAAGAAGCGAGGUGUGAGAUCAACUAAAUAAUAGGCUGUGCCUAUUCAGCCUUUGUUCCUGGAAGCAAGCGCCAGCAGGUUACAAGGAUCAGAUGCUAUGACCUAGCAGAUUUUUUGAGCCAAACAGACCUGUUAAAUCAAAUAAUAUAUACUUGUAUGGAAGAUACUAGCAAGUCACAAAUUGAUUUAUUUAUAUCAAAUUAUUUGAAGACUGAUCGUCCUCUUUUCCAUCAGUGUAAAUGAAGAUGUACCAGUGGAAACAAUUGUUAUGUAAACAAAAUGUGGUCAGCUGGCAUCUCUACUGAAGACUACUUAUUAAUCAAAACGUUGGCUAAGGGGGCACCAAAAUCACCAUGCAGAAACCUGGAAGCGUUCAACCUUUAAUCAUCAAACAGCAUCUGUGACUGUACUCAGCUCUCAGCUAGUGGCACCCAAUAAGUUGGUAUUGUGAUCGAGUGCCGACCAGAUGUGUUUGUGUGGCUAAAAUGAAUGUACCUCUAUUAUUUUGCUACUAAAUUGUCUGCUUAGUAAGUCAAUGAGCCAUUUCCUCACGGUGUGAAAAAACCCUCUGUGUUCCAACGAGCUGGGGCAUUGAGCACCAUGAACCCACGGCCAGCUGAAAAAAUCAGUGUCCGCAUGUUGGUUACCAGCUGCAGAUAAGGUUGUCACUUCACAUUAUUAUCUGUGCCGAAAAACUGAACAUGGAAACAAUGGGAUUUUUAAAAUAUAUAAAAGACUGCUGUACAUGGGUGGAGAACAAAUGCACAGUAAUAAACCUAAAUAUGUCCCGGAAGACAAAAUACAUGCAGAUAUUAAGUGAAAAAUGAGCCUAAACAGGCUAAGUACAUGCUGGGUAAUGGCUCAUGCAAGCAGGCAUCGGCCCCACAUUAGCUGAGCAACUACAAGUUGCUGUAUGUCCUGCCAAGCAGAGUAAUACAUGGCAUUAUAGCACUAAACAAUUUCUAAGGAGAUAAAAAAAGGGAAUGCACUAUUUUAAAUUUAAUGUAACAAAACAAAAAAAAAAUAGAAAAAAAAAUGCUUCCAUAUUAUAUAAGCAACAGUAUAAAUGGUUUAAUUAAAUAAUUUAAAGAGAGACAUGUAAUUAUGAGUAUCGUUUUAAUUGGCCCAAAGAAUAAAAAUACUGUGUUAGUUUUAAGUGAACUUGGGGAGAUUAAUCACUUAUCUGUCCAGAGGAAAAAUAGCUGAGUUGCCCAUAGAAACCAAUCAGAUCGCUUAUUUCAUUUCUCAGAGGCCUUUUCAAAAAUGAAAGAAGCUACAGUAAAAUCUCCCUUAGUGGACACCUCCCAAUAGCAGACAGUUUUUAAUUCCCUGGCCCAUAAGACUUAAUGUAUUUGCACCCUCCUAAUAGGGAACAUUCCCAUAGCUGACGCGGACACAACCAAUAGAGGACAAUAGGGGACAAAACACUCCCAAUAGGGGACAAAACACUCCCAUUAGGGGAAAAAAAAACCUCCCAAUAGGGGAAAACCAGCCUUAUGUGCCAGCCCUACCUGGUACACAGGGCCAUCGUCAGGGGGUAAAGCCAAUGCCCCAGUAACAACAAGACAUCCACAUAUACUGACUAUCCUGUGUCUGUCUUCCACUUGAUUGUCUGGGAUAUUUUCCUGAAGAUUUUAAUUCCUGUUAUUUUGGACUUCCUUUUGGCGUUAUUUAAUUUUGUUUCCAUAACUGUAUCGAUUUGCACUUUUCUGUGUUACACCUGAAUAGUGCUUUAAAACUGGCUUACAUAUUGUGACAAAAUGUAAUAAAAAUCUUUAAAAACCAUAAAAUAAAUUACAUCUAUUAGCGGAUUA